GGGGCAUUAGCUCAAUUGGUAGAGCGUCUGCAUGGCAUGCAGAAGGUCAACGGUUCGAUUCCGUUAUGCUCCACCA
rnacentral:tRNA from 1 species